UACGUAGGGUGCAAGCGUUGUCCGGAAUUAUUGGGCGUAAAGAGCUCGUAGGCGGUCUGUCGCGUCGGCUGUGAAAACUCGGGGCUCAACUCCGAGCUUGCAGUCGAUACGGGCAGGCUAGAGUUCGGCAGGGGAGACUGGAAUUCCUGGUGUAGCGGUGAAAUGCGCAGAUAUCAGGAGGAACACCGGUGGCGAAGGCGGGUCUCUGGGCCGUUACUGACGCUGAGGAGCGAAAGCGUGGGGAGCGAACAGG
rnacentral:rRNA from 1 species